AACAGAAGCAAAAGGUACUUCACAUCUCUGUGGACAUGACAGGGAUGGUGGAGCAGAUAACCUGGCAGCACUGUAUUUUGCCACAAAGAAUGUUCAGCACUGGAGGAAGAACAGUCAGUCAUGGGAAUGUGUGUAUUAUGUUGUUAAAGCAGACAACCAAACCCUGAACCAAACUUCUCAAUAAACAUCUGCAAGCUUCA